GCUCCCGUAGCUCAGUUGGACAGAGCGGCGCCCUCCUAAGGCGUAGGUCACAGGUUCGAUUCCUGUCGGGGGCG
rnacentral:tRNA from 1 species